rnacentral:misc_RNA from 1 species
AACCAUAGAAACCUGCGGAGUACCUGCGGAAGGAUCAUUACCGAGUCACAUGCUCAAAUAACCCUUCUGUGGACCUGAAAUAAAACCGUUGCCUCGGCGGGCGGUCCCCCCAACCAAACCCCACGUGGUGGGUUAGGGGACCAGACAGUCCGGCACGCUUAAGGCGUCCGGCGCCAGCCGCUGGCCCCAAACAAUUAAACUCCUAGUAACCUUUACCUUCUGAGUUUCAAUAUUUUAAAA